rnacentral:rRNA from 1 species
UACGGAGGAUGCAAGCGUUAUCCGGAAUGAUUGGGCGUAAAGCGUCCGCAGGUGGCUAUGUAAGUCUGCUGUUAAAGAGUCUGGCUCAACCGAGAUAAAGGCAGUGGAAACUACAUGGCUAGAGUGCGUUCGGGGCAGAGGGAAUUCCUGGUGUAGCGGUGAAAUGCGUAGAGAUCAGGAAGAACACCGGUGGCGAAAGCGCUCUGCUAGGCCGCAACUGACACUGAGGGACGAAAGCUAGGGGAGCGAAUGGG